rnacentral:rRNA from 1 species
AUUGAACGCUGGCGGCAGGCCUAACACAUGCAAGUCGAGCGAGCGGCGGACGGGUGAGUAAUGUAUGGGGACUGCCCGAUAGAGGGGGCUAACUACUGGAAACGGUGGCUAAUACCGCAUACUGUCGGAUAACCCAUAGUGGAUUAGCUAGUAGGUGGGGUAAAGGCUCACCUAGGCGACGAUCGCUAGCUGGUCUGAGAGGAUGAUCAGCCACACUGGGACUGAGACACGGCCCAGACUCCUACGGAGGCAGCAGUAGGGAAUCUUGCACAAUGGGCGAAAGCCUGAUGCAGCCAUGCCGCGUGUAUGAAGAAGGCCUUAGGGUUGUAAAGUUCUUUCGUCAGGGAAGCGUUACCCGCAGAAGAAGCCCCGGCUAACUCCGUGCCAGCCGCCGCGGUAAUUC